AUGUUAGCUGAUCCUUCCCUCCAUAGAAAUAAUGACAGUGACCUAGCUGCGCUGCUAGCCUUCAAAGCACAGUGCUCCGAUCCUCUUGAUAUUCUUGGUAGGAACUGGACCACCGGUACGUCCUUCUGCCACUGGGUUGGUGUUUCUUGCAGCCGGCGUCUGCAGCGUGUCACCGCUCUUGUGCUGCCAGGCAUACCGCUCCAAGGAACGGUCUCCUCAUAUCUUGGUAACCUCUCUUUUCUCCAUGUCCUAAACCUCACCAACACAAAUCUCACAGGCUUCAUCCCUCCUGAUAUAGGUAAAUCGAGUCGUCUCGUUGUACUUGAUCUUAGCCUUAACGGAUUAUCAGGCAUUAUCCCUCAUACCAUAGGAAAUCUCACAAAGCUAAAAGUCCUUGUUCUAAGCCAAAAUGAUCUCUCUGGGAAAAUACCAUAUGAUCUGCAAAACCUGAAUAAUCUUAGGAAUAUUGAUCUCGGGACAAACCAGUUAAGUGGUCUGAUACCACAGCAGUUAUUCAACAACACACCUCAGUUAAUUGAUCUGAAUUUGGGAAACAACAGUCUUUCAGGGCCGAUACCACCCGGUAUUGCCUCCUGUGCCAUGCUUGAAACCCUUUUGUUGCAACGGAAUCAGCUAUCCGGUCCAGUACCUCCAACCAUAUUCAACAUGUCUAGACUAGAACUUCUGAUCCUCGCCAGUAAUAGCUACUUAACAGGACCCAUCCCUAGCAACAAAAGCUUUAAUCUGCCCAUGUUGCUCAAGUUCGGUAUGGGUAGCAACAGCUUUCGAGGCCGUAUUCCAUUAGGACUCGCAUCAUGUAGAUAUCUUGAAGUAGUUUCCCUGUCAGUAAACUCUUUUGUGGACUUUGUCCCAGCAUGGUUUGCUAAACUGUCACAACUCACUUGGAUUAGUUUAGGUGGAAAUGGCCUUGUUGGUUCAAUUCCGGGUGAGCUUAGUAAUCUCACUCUGCUAAAUGUGCUUGAUCUCUCAUAUUGCAAUCUAAGUGGAAGGAUCCCAGAUGAAUUAGGGGAAAUAAGUCACCUCACGCAUUUACAUCUGUCAUAUAAUGACUUAACAGGUUCAUUUCCUGCUUUUGUUGGUAACCUAUCUCAACUGUCUUUGCUGGCACUAGAGUCGAACUGUUUAACUGGAUUAGUCCCGGUAACAAUUGGGAACCUCAGAACCCUUAAUUUUCUGGAUAUUGGAAGCAAUCUGCUCAAUGGGACAGUUGAUUUCUUGUCCACUCUCUCCAACUGUAGACAACUCCAGUACAUCGACAUAGGAAUGUGUUCUUUCACCGGGAGCAUUCCUACUUACAUUGGAAACCUCUCUGCAGCAUUAUAUUACUUUUUCGCAAAUGACAACUAUUUAACUGGCAUAAUCCCAGCAACAAUAUCAAAUCUUAGUAGACUUAGUAUAUUAUCCUUUGCUGGCAACCAAUUGAGUUCCACGAAUCUGGAUUCUGUUACAUUAUUAGAGAAUCUUGAGGAACUAGACCUAAGUGGGAAUAACAUUUUUGGCCCAAUCCCAACUCAUAUUGGCGCCCUAACAAGAUUGCACGAAUUAGGCCUGCGAAACAAUCAUUUUUCUGGUGUCAUACCAAGUGGCACUAUUCCAAAGUAUUUGGCCAACUUUACUUCUCUGACUAGCUUGAACCUUUGUUUUAAUAAGUUCCAAGGGGAGAUACCGGAUGGAGGUAUUUUCCCAAAAAACAUCAGCUCUCAAUCUUUGAUGGGAAAUGCUGGGUUGUGUGGUGCCCCACGUCUAGGAUUUUUGCCAUGCCUAGUUGAUUCACACCCAUCCAACAAACACUCGCUAAGAUUUUUGCUUCCAGUUCUCAUGAUAACACUGGGGGCUAUAGCAAUUAUCCUAUACCUGAUGAACAGAAAGAAAAAUAGGAAGCAACCAGAUGUUACGACUUCUAUUGACAUAGCUGACGUGAUCAACCAUAGGUUAGUAUCCUACCAUGAUAUUGCUCGAGCCACUGAUAAUUUCAAUGACGACAAGAUACUUGGAGCUGGAAGUUUUGGCAAAGUUUACAAGGGCCAACUAGAUGAUGGUUCAGUGGUUGCAAUAAAAGUGCUCAACAUGCAAGUUGAGCAGGCCGUGAGGAGCUUUGAUGCUGAAUGUCAAGUGCUGCGAAUGGCUCGGCAUCGCAACUUGAUACGGAUAUUGAAUACUUGUUCCAACUUGGAUUUCAGAGCAUUGCUGCUUCAGUACAUGCCCAAUGGUAGCUUGGAGGCACACCUGCACACUGGAAAUAAGGAGCCACUAGGGUUCAUCAAGAGAUUAGACAUUAUGCUUGGUGUGUCGGAGGCGAUGGAAUACCUGCACCACCAUCACUGUGAAGUUGUUCUACACUGUGACCUGAAGCCUAGCAAUGUGCUCUUCGAUGAGGACAUGACAGUGCAUGUCGCCGACUUUGGCAUUGCAAAGUUACUUAUAGGCGAUGACAACUCCAUGGUUUCUCGAAGUCUUCACCGGAACAUCGACUUUCUCGUGUCGACAUUUGAGUUAGGUCUGGAGUGUUCAAGUGAUUCUCCUGACCAGAGGAUGAGCAUGAGUGACGUGGUCGUGAGGUUGAAGAACAUGAAGAAGGAUUACUCUGCUUCCAUUGCUACAACGCAAGGCGCGGAUGAUCGUUGA
rnacentral:rRNA from 1 species